GACCCUCCUACCAUCCCGUCGACGACCCUCCUACCAUGUCACCCUUUCUUCUGUCUUAUAAUAUUUUGCUUGUUUAUCUUUUUCACCAUUUAUAUAACCCUCCCCCUUCUCUCAACCAUCUAUCCUUCUCUCUAACUCUAAUUAGCCAUCUGGCCACUCCUCACCAACUCCAUGAACUCACUCCAUACCAUGAGCACACACCUCGCACCACUCAACUCGCCAUUAGAUCCAACUGAAACCUAACCUCCGUGUCUCUCUCUAGCGUUCACCACAAUGAUUCGGCCUCACAAGACCGAGGGAGAAGAAAACAAUGCCACCAUUUCCAACAUGAACAUUAACGCUUUUAGUUUUUUAUUUGCAUAUGGACACAUUUUAUGUAUCGGUGUUUUGCAGGAACAUAAAUAUAUGUGACCCUGUUUUUCAUUUACCGGAUGUUGUCUAUAGAUAUGGUAUGUCAAUAAAAAUAGGAAUGAUUUUCUAUUCAAUUUUAGAUCUUUCCAACUAUAACUUGAAUCGGGGCAGGAAAGGUAGAAUAGUCGCAGUAGUACACCCAUCCCCUUUUGUGGUUUCUAAUAACAUUUCUUUUCGUAGGCGAUAUUCCAAAGAUGAAGGGAUAUAAAAUUGUAUAUGGUUGAUGAGUCUUAAUUCAAGAUAACGACAUUAAGAAAUUUAGGUUAGUUACUUCGAUAUUUGUUUAAUUGAUGUCAUUUAAUCAUAGAUUGUGGAGAGAAUGAGAAAAAAUGUUGGGAUUCGUCACUGUUUUGGGCUCUAAGGUGUCCAUGAUCAUUUAUUUCAAUCGAAUUGGUUAAUCUACACCCACCUCUUACCCUGGUAUAAUUUCCUUUUCCUUUUCCUAUUUGUUUGAUUUGUCCAGAUAGGUAUGAAGAACCUUUAUUUGUCAUUUAAGUUGUUAGUGCAUAGACAUGUAUCAUUCAGAUUUGGAAAUCCCUAAUGUUUUGUAUUUUACUAUGUUUUGCAUUUUUGUUUUCCUUUGUGAUGUUAUGAUAGUUCCUAAAAUAGGAGGGAAGAAACACCAUCAUUUCAAAAAAGGGGUAUAAAAAUGCCACUCAUUAAGGGAUUCGUUUAGUAAGAAUUAAUAGAGAAUGUGAAGACGUUUGAACAUCUUAAUAGAUAGAUACAUUUUUUAAUGUGUAUUAUUUUCUUGCAGGUGAAAGUUCAAACUUCUAACUAAAGAUCCUUUCCAGAUGCUUUCUCUUGAUACCCUCCAAGAUGGUAUAAAUAACCAUGGUAUCAUCAUUUUUGGAUCUUGAUAGAUCCCCUUGACGAAAUUUGUUAAACUUUAGCAAGAGACAGAAGGCGACACUACAGGAGAUAAAAGAGCAUAGGGGAUUCAUGAGUCUUUUAACCAAAAAAUGUCAGGGGUCAUCAUCUUUCUCUUUUAAUACAAGAAUAUUGUGAUUUCUUCGAUUUAUUUAUCCUUUGUUUAGAUCAAUUGUAAGAAAUACAAAAGUAUUUUCUUGAACUUUGUUGAUACAAAGAGUAACCGGAAGCAAGACAAUGUACAUUUGUUUUUCUACCUGAAAAUGUAUUAUCAUUUUUUAUUUGAUACAAUGAUUUGAAAAUAUAUUAUCAUGA